CAGAUGAACGCUGGCGGCGUGCCUAACACAUGCAAGUCGAACGAAGCACAGCAGACGAGAUUCGUCGAAGCUGCUUUGACUUAGUGCGGACGGGUGAGUAAUGUGUGAGCAACCUGCCUUUCAGAGGGGGACAACAGUUGGAAACGACUGCUAAUACCGCAUAACGUAUUUUUGGUGGCAUCACCGGGAUACCAAAGGAGCAAUCCGCUGAAAGAUGGGCUCACAUCUGAUUAGCUUGUUGGUGAGGUAACGGCUCACCAAGGCCUGCGAUCAGUAGCCCGGACUGAGAGGCUGAACGGCCACAUUGGGACUGAGAUACGGCCCAGACUCCUACGGGAGGCAGCAGUGGGGAAUAUUGGGCAAUGGGCGAAAGCCUACGACCCAGCAACGCCGCGUGAAGGAAGAAGGUCUUCGGAUUGUAAACUUCUUUUAUGAGGGACGAAGGACGUGACGGUACCUCAUGAAUAAGCCACGGCUAACUACGUGCCAGCCGCCGC
rnacentral:rRNA from 1 species